rnacentral:rRNA from 1 species
GACAGAGGGGGCAAGCGUUGUCCGGACUGACUGGGCGUAAAGCGCGCGCAGGCGGUCAGAGGCGUCGGUGCUCAAAGUCCACCGCUUAACGGUGGGAGGCGUGCCGAUACGCUCUGACUGGAGGGCGGGCGAGGGUGGUGGAAUUGCCGGUGUAGUGGUGAAAUGCGUAGAGAUCUGCAAGAAUACCCGUGGCGAAGGCGGCUCACUGGCCCGAUACUGACGCUGAGGUGCGAAAGCGUGGGGAGCAAACAGG